CGCAAAGACCCUAAACGGACCUAGCAUGAGUUGACACUUAGACUUAACCAUUAAGUCACCAAUUCUCUCCACUUUCAUUACAAUACCUGAUUUCACUCUCUCUCCUCUCGUCACUCUCUAGUUGGCCGAAGAUGGGAAGAAAAAAAUCUAGCCAAAAUCCUCACAAACUUGCUUCAAUCCACUUCCAAAUUUCAUCAUCCAUUAGAGGGCUUUGAUCCUAGCUUGGAAGAGGGGGCUGUUCAUCGGUUUUCUUGGAGGAAUUUCGGUCAAGAUUUCUGCCCUAAAGCUGUCCAACUAAGUUCUUGAGGAUCUCAAGAGGACUUCGAGGGAACUCCCGGCGAAGCGUCUUAGAGCUAAUUUCUCAAACUUUGACUUUUGAUACUUGGUUUGGAAGUGGAAGUUCUGAGGCUUAAUUAGUGACCCCCAA